CACCUCCCCAAGUCACAGUCGCGUUGGGCUCGCGCAUAGCAGAGCUCGAUCCCCUUUCCUCUUCUGCCGCCGCCGCCGGCAACCCGCCCUCGCCGCUCAGCCCUUGACGACGGCCACCCACCCAGCUCCCUACACGCCCACCGGCGCCCCCACCCACUCUCUUCCCUCCGCCCCUCGAUUCCCUGCCAAACCCUAGGUGCUGCCGGCCGCCGUCUCGACUCGAGCCCCUCCUCCGCCUCCCUCUCAGCCUCGACGCACCAGCCCAAGCAGCAGCGCGCUGCAGAUGGAGCUCCUCCUCCGCUGCAGACAAGGAGGUGCUGCUCGGCGACCACCUCCCCGACCCGCUUCUGCCGUCCACGUCCCCGACCCGCUGAUGCCGGCGACGACUCCGUCCCCAAUCUGCAGCUGCCCAAUUCUCCACGUGUCGGAUGUGAAGCCCAGGUGGGCCGUCUCCAUGGCGUGCAGGAGGUCUUGUUGCUUCUCGCCCCCCCCCCACAAGGAGGCAAACCUUGAUGCCGCCUUCCUUUCAAGAGAUCGUCGACGUCGGCACAACCGACAGGUCACAUUUUUUCUCUUUGGUUGCGCUCGAACUCAUAUUGCGGCCAUGCUAUCUGCUAGUUUAUGCAGGGUGCCCUGGGCGUGUGAUGCUGGGACUGUUAAAGUAGCUUCUAUGCUAGUUUGCAAUUGUGCACUUGCUGUUCAAGGGUACCGAGGAAGAGGGGGACUAGAUGAUGGGGAGGGUAGCUGCCUGCAGCCUGAUGCAUCACAUUUGGAAGGAAGCAACCCGGCGGACAAGGAGAUGCCAUCAUCAUAUAUACGCCUUGGUCGAGCUAUCUUUGCCAGUCUAAGUCUCAAUCUGGUUUGGCUGGAUCAACUUGGACGCCCAAGUGGAGGACGGGGGAGACCACAUUGACCAUCUCGAGCUCGAUAGACAUCCUCGACCCCGACCACCUGCAAAAGGGAGAGACGCGUCUCAUGGAUGCUUGCCAAUGACAUGCACACGUCCUGCUGCUAGGGACGGACGGACACGCUGGACGGCAUCAGCUACGGCGUGGGACUGUUGUGACCUACAGUUGCUGUGCAUAGUCACCAUGGUGCCUUCCAGCCAAAAAAGCAUCUCUGGAGGACUAAGAUGAAGACACCGAACUGCCUCCCCGAACCCUAGCUGAGGUGGCGGAGGAGGAGCUGAACCGGGGAACCAGAAGGAGGAACGUCGUCGGCGACAUCCAUAAGCCCCGCUCCGGAUCGACUAUGAGGAACAACAAGGGAGACACCCUCGCAUGCUUUGCCAUAAGGAAGCCAGCAGGACAGAAGAUCAUGCCGAUUGAUUUCAUUUCCCUGGUCUGCUCCUGCCUGUGGUUGCGUGCACGGCCAAGGAUCCACAGCAGCUGGACGUCAACGAUGACGCACAAGGCGAGGAGGAGCUGCAACUGGGCGUCCAGUCAGAUCCCGACCACCACGACGCCAACAAAAAAAGAUGCCAACUGACCGAGGAGGAGGGCAAGGCGUCCUGCUUGAUCCAGCCCAGCAACCGCCCGUGCUGUCCACCACGCCGAUGGCGUCCCCAAGUGCUAGGCCGCCCACACCGCAGCCAUGCUGGUGUCCUGGUUCGGCUACUAAACCUCAUCCGCUGCCCAUGUGUUUUCAGGUCAAGUCCACCACUGGUUGUGGUCUCGGAUAGCACCCGGAGCUGCUGCUGCCGGCUUCUCUCACUGAUGUCCUGUUCAUCUCUCUCUGAUGUCGCUGGAGAGGAUGCCACCUUCUCGUUGCUCGAGCACAAGGAUGUACAUGCUCACCAUCAAGUAGGGCAACUAGAAGAAGAUGCUGGAGGAUGAGCACAACCAGCUGACUUUUAGGAAGGUCAUUAUUUGUCGCUCUACUUCUCUCCCCUUGAACGGAGCAGCUGCUCAUGCGGGCACUAGAGCUGCUGCUGGCGUCCACCCGGAGCUGCUGCCAGCCACCACUCCUACCUGCGCUGCCGGCGAGGGAGGCAUCUCCUGGCUGCUUGCUGAUGGCCACCAGCUACGGCGUCGAUCGACGUCUAUAGGUCAAUGAUGUGCGCUUGGAGCCCACCACCACUGGUCUCCCAUGCCGACGGCGCUGUUGUAGACAGGCAGUGGGCUCGGAUGGCGCCCCUCCGCAUAUCCCGGAGCUGCUCCUGCUGCUGGCCGCGUCCUUGAGCUUCUUCUGCUGGCCAUCUCUUUGACCUGCUGCUGCCGGGGUGGUGGUGACGUUCAUCCUCGGCUACAACUCCCUCAGGGCUCCUCGGUUCCCUUCUUUCUCUUCUAUGUGCUCUGUUGUACCACACGGCCAUUGAGCCGUGGUUUGCUGCUCCGGGCAUCGAGUCGAUGCCUUGUGUUGAGCCGUUGAACUUUUUUGGAAUUUGUGGUGCUUUUUCGGUACUCGAAUGUGCCGUUGCUGGUGUAGUUGAUCUGGUACUAGUUCUAUUUGCUCUAAUUGUUCUACUGGUCAUGAACCCUAUUUCGGUUACUGUUUGGUUAGUUAGUUUAGAACAAUUGGCUACUGCUCUUUGAUGUUUUGGUUAGUUUCAAUUAGCUCAAAUGUCAAACAAGAAAAACGUGAUAAUCUUGCUGUCUUCUUAGAGCUUAUACUCAUGUUUAGAUAAGAUAGUAUUGAUCUGGCAUUUCAGUUGAUUACCAUGCAAUUGGUGUAGUUAUAUGCCUUGAUUCAAGUGCCCUGUUAAGGGGUUAAUCAAUAGAAUCACCUUUCAAUCCUGUGUAAAUUUGAGAUUUAUCUUCUCUUUGUAUGGAACCAAGCAUUUACUUAUGCCUGAAAUUGGUGGUUUGUGUUUAAAGUAGGCAUUACAAUGACAAAGAAACUGAGCCAGUGCAAGGAUUUUGGGAUUGGCCGUGUGUUACCAUGACAGAAAGGAAGGAGUGCGAUUGCAUGUCCAGGCUACGGCGGUGCUGGCCACGGCCUCCUGCCCCUCGCGCGCGGUUAUAGGGCAAGGUGGCACUUGGCCUAGACUACCUCAUCUACUUCCUCUCCGACUCGAGUUCACCGCGCCGCAACCGCAGUGGCGGUGCUAUCUCGGUGUGGGCCACAAUUCUCUCAGGGGAGUGUGAGAUGGCAAAACUGUUGGUUUCUUCUUUCUAAAGGAGGAGCAGACGUGUGUCAGGACUGUAGCAGCAUCGACAACAGCAAGAUUGAUCACAGUACUGAUUCGUUUGUCCUAGUGCCUAUCAGCCGUCGAUCUGCAAUCUAACGGAAGCUGGAGUGGCGUACCGCUUCGCACUCAAGUUCCCCAUCCCCAGCCCACAGAUCUCCGGAUGAAUGGCUCACGUGGAUGUAACGCUAGUGAAUUUACCAAGCACUGUACCUUGCUGAACAUGUCGCUAUCUUACUUUUCCCUAGCUGAACCUCUUUUUAACGUUUCUCUGGCUUGUGGAGAGGGCAUUCUAGAUGUAUCUGGGCUUUGCCCCUUAAGCCGUUCGGCUGGUGAACCCUAGCUCGCUACUUCCAGAUCUAGCUUAAAUCGAUCCCCAUUUCCUACA